rnacentral:tRNA from 1 species
GGUCGUUUAGCUCAGGCGGUUCAGAGUAUCGUGCUAAUAACGCGAGGGUCGCAGGUUCGAGCCCUGCAUCGACCA